GAUCCUGGCUCAGGAUGAACGCUAGCUACAGGCUUAACACAUGCAAGUCGAGGGGCAGCAUGGUCUUAGCUUGCUAAGGCUGAUGGCGACCGGCGCACGGGUGAGUAACACGUAUCCAACCUGCCGUCUACUCUUGGCCAGCCUUCUGAAAGGAAGAUUAAUCCAGGAUGGCAUCAUGAGUUCACAUGUCCGCCAUGAUUAAAAGGUAAUUUUCCGGUUUACGGACGGAUGGGGG
rnacentral:rRNA from 1 species